rnacentral:rRNA from 1 species
CACGUAGGGUGCGAGCGUUGUCCGGAAUUAUUGGGCGUAAAGAGCUCGUAGGCGGUGUGUCGCGUCGGCCGUGAAAACCUGCAGCUUAACUGUGGGCUUGCGGUCGAUACGGGCAUCACUGGAGUUCGGCAGGGGAGACUGGAAUUCCUGGUGUAGCGGUGAAAUGCGCAGAUAUCAGGAGGAACACCGGUGGCGAAGGCGGAUCUCUGGGCCGUAACUGACGCUGAGGAGCGAAAGCAUGGGGAGCGAACAGG